GACGAACGCUGGCGACGUGCUUAACACAUGCAAGUCGAACGGAAAGGCCCUGCUUUUGUGGGGUGCUCGAGUGGCGAACGGGUGAGUAACACGUGAGUAACCUGCCCUUGACUUUGGGAUAACUUCAGGAAACUGGGGCUAAUACCGGAUAGGAGCUCCUGCUGCAUGGUGUGGGUUGGAAAGUUUCGGCGGUUGGGGAUGGACUCGCGGCUUAUCAGCUUGUUGGUGGGGUAGUGGCUUACCAAGGCUUUGACGGGUAGCCGGCCUGAGAGGGUGACCGGCCACAUUGGGACUGAGAUACGGCCCAGACUCCUACGGGAGGCAGCAGUGGGGAAUAUUGCACAAUGGGCGGAAGCCUGAUGCAGCAACGCCGCGUGCGGGAUGACGGCCUUCGGGUUGUAAACCGCUUUCGCCUGUGACGAAGCGUGAGUGACGGUAAUGGGUAAAGAAGCACCGGCUAACUACGUG
rnacentral:rRNA from 1 species